GCCACCAUGGUAUAGUGGUUUGAGCAUUGGACUACAACUCUGGAGACCAGGGUUCGAUUCCCCAUGCAUCCA